rfam:Candidatus Giovannonibacteria bacterium RIFCSPLOWO2_01_FTLL_46_32 rifcsplowo2_01_scaffold_268, whole genome shotgun sequence.
UAGCGGGGGUAAAAGGGCGUAUGGCGGAUGGCUCGAGAUAAAAUGGGCGACGAAGGGCGUGGCGUGACUGCGUUAAGCUUGGGGGAGGUGUCUAGCAACCUUUGAUCCCAAGAUUUCCGAAUGGGGAAACCUCGUUUUGCGAAAGCAAAACGAGCUCCGACCUUGCGUCGGAGCGGCGAACCCGCUGAAGUAAAACAUUUCAGUAAGCGGAGGAAAAGAAAACAAUAGUAUAUUCCCCAAGUAGCGGCGAGCGAAAAGGGAAAAGCCCAGAGUUCUUUUUUCUUGAUUAAUUUAUUAAUUAGGAAAAUUGAGCAGUAGUAAGUUUGGUCCGUAUGAGGGUUAAUCCUCGUGGAGAGUUGAAUCAAAAAAGGUCUGUCUAGCAGAACGGCCCUGGAAAGGCCGGCCAAAGAGGGUAAUAGCCCCGUAAGCGAAAGUCACCUUUGACUCUCUGGACCUUACUUGAGUACCCCGAAAAACGUGAUGUUCGGGGGAAACUGCCGGCACGAGCCGGUAAGGCUAAAUACCUUUUAUCAUCGAUAGUGAACCAGUACCGUGAGGGAAAGUUGAAAAGCAGCCCGGUGAGGGCGAUGAAAUAGUACCUGAAACCAUAUGCUUACAAGGAGUCGGAGUCCCGCGCCUUUUUACAAAGGCGCGGGAUGACGGCGUGCCUAUUGAAGAAUGAGCCAACGACUUAUCCAGCAUCUUUUGUCUAAGGGCGUCUAGCCCGGAGGCAAAGGGAAACCAAGUCUUAAAAUGGCGAAUUUGAUAUUCAUUUAUCAAAAAAGGUGCUGGAUAGACCCGAAGCCGGAUGAGCUUGCCAUGGCCAGGGUGAACCCCGCCGAAAGGCGGGGGGAGGCCCGAACCGUUUAGCCGUUCAAUACUAUCGGAUGAGCUGUGGCAAGGAGUGAAAAGCUAAUCGAAUUCGGUAAUAGCUGGUUCUCUCCGAAAUAGCUUUAGGGCUAGCGGCCCGUAAAAUACUGGAGGUAGAGCUACUAGAAGGUUCGUAUAGGGCGAAAGCUCGACGAUCCUACUAAACUCCGAAUGCCAGUUGUAUAUACGGGCUAGUCAGACUAUGGGGGCUAAGCUCCAUUGGUCAAAAGGGAAACAGCCCAGAUCUCAAUCUAAGGUCCCUAAAUUUCUGCUAAGUGCAAAGAAGGUGGUGGAGUUGCUUAGAAGCAGCCAUCCUUUAAAGAGUGCGUAACAGCUCACUCGUCAAGAGACUUCGCGCCGAAAAUUAUCGGGGCUAAGCAGAGUACCGAAGGUGAGGAAUUGGUGCUUGAAUUUUGGAUUUAAAAUUUAGUUCUUUGGAAAGGAGAACAGUCAUGGCCAAGAAAAUUGUUGAUGUUCCGAACCUGAUACGUUUCAACCGGGAUUUUGCGAAAGCUCUGGAAAAAGGCGAGAAGUGGGCCGUGGAACACAUGCGCAAAAGUGAAGAGUUGAACAGCGGCAAUCCGUACGCUUUCGAACGAAACUUCGAUGGAAAAAAACGACGAUGGUGUGGCGGAUGUAGUGACCCGGAAGGUUGUGUCGUAUGCCUUCUUCAUUAAUUAGCAACGAAAGGAGUAAUUUGGGGAGCCUUAAAAAAGUUCCCCUCCAAAAUUCAAGCACCAAUUGGUAGGAGAGCGUUCCAAUCGCAGUGAAGCUCACGGCGCGAGCCGGAGUGGAGCGUUUGGAAGUGAGAAUGUUGGCACAAGUAACCACAAGUCCGGUGAAAGCCCGGACCACCGAAAACCCAAGGUUUCCUUGGCAAUGACAAUCAGCCAAGGGUUAGUCGGCCCUAAGCCGAUGGCGAAAGCCGGAGGCGAUGGACAGCAGGUUAAUAUUCCUGCACUGCGUAUAGUUUUGACGGCAGGACGGAGUCUAGUAUGCAAAGCGCAUUAUUGGAUUUGCGUUCGGGCUUUGAGGAUAGAGCGCAGGCAAAUCCGCGCUCAAGCGCUUUAAUGCGCGCUAUCCAAGAAGAGCGAAAAUUUUUUCCGCAAGGUUAAGAAAUUUUGCAAAGCAGGCUUCCCAGAAAAAUGUCUAAAAUUAUCUAUACGCAACCGUACCGAAAUCCGACACAGGUGGGUAGGUCGAGAAGACCAAGGUGAACGAGUGAAAGAUCCCCAAGGAACUCGGCAAAAAAGCAUCCGUAAGUUCGCAAUAUGGAUUUCCCCGCGCAAGCGGGGACGCAGCGAAAGUACCCCUGGCGACUGUUUAACAAAAACACAGCUCCCUGCAAACUCGUAAGAGGAAGUAUAGGGGGUGACGCCUGACCAAUGCGAGAAGGUUAACGUUGGCGGUUCUAUGUAGCAAUAUGUAGGGCUGACUGGCCGAAGCCCUCGUCAAUGUCGGCCGUAACUAUAACGGUCCUAAGGUAGCGCAAUUCCUUGUCAGGUGAGUUCUGACGCGCACGAAAGGCGUAACGACUGGGGGACUGUCUCGGGGAUUUGCUCGGUGAAAAUGCGAUACCGGUGAAGAUGCCGGUUAGGUGUAGUUAGACGAAAAGACCCCGGAAGCUUUACUGCAAGUUGUUAUUGGCUUUACGUUUUUAUUACGUAGCGUAGUGGGGAGGCCUUGAAUCCGCCGUCUCGGCGGCGGAGGAGCCGCCAAUGAAACACCCAUUUUUAAAAAUGUAAAAUCUAACCUGUCCCGCAAAACGAGACGGGGACAGUAGCUGCUGGGCAGUUUGUGUGGGGCGCAAUCCUCCUAAAAAGUAACGGAGGAGUUUAUUAAGGUCGGCUUAGCGCGGAUGGACAUCGCGCCGGACCUGUAAGAGGAAAAGCCGGCUUAACUGCGAGACGGACAGGUCGAGCAGAUGCGAAAGCAGAAUCUAGUGAACCGACCGUUGGCACUCGAUGCCGCGGAAGAUUAACGGAUAAAAGCUACUCCGGGGAUAACAGGCUAGUUCCGUCCAAGCGUCCAUAGCGACGACGGAGUUCGGCACCUCGAUGUCGGCUCAUCUUAUCCUGGGGGUGGAGAAGCUCCCAAGGGUUUGGCUGUUCGCCAAUUAAAAAGGUACGUGAGCUGGGUUCAGACCGUCGUGAGACAGGUUGGACUCCUAUCUACUACACCCGUUGAUUCUUGAGGGGGGUUCUUCCUAGUACGAGAGGACCGGAAGGAGGCGACCUCUGGUUUGCCUGCUCUGCCGCCAGGCGGAACGCAGGGUGGCUAAGUCGCUAAGUGAUAAGCGCUGAAAGCAUCUAAGCGCGAAGCAUGCCCCAAGAUUAGGAAUUAUUGAUUCCUCGAAGACUACGAGGUUGAUAGGCUCUAGGUGUAAGAUCCGCAAGGAUUUAAGCCGAGGAGUACUAAUAGAUCAAACAACCUGAUAAG